rnacentral:rRNA from 1 species
CGCGUAGGCGGCCAUGUAAGUCAGAUGUGAAAGCCCGGGGCUCAACCCCGGAAGUGCAUUUGAUACUGCAUGGCUUGAGUAUGGGAGAGGGAAGUGGAAUUCCUGGUGUAGAGGUGAAAUUCGUAGAUAUCAGGAGGAACACCGGUGGCGAAGGCGACUUCCUGGACCAAUACUGACGCUGAGGCGCGAAGGCAUGGGUAGCAAACA